CAGCAGCCACGGGAAUACGUAGGGUGCAAGCGUCAAUCGGAAUUACUGGGCGUAAAGCGUGCGCAGGCGGUUCUAUAAGACAGAUGUGAAAUCCCCGGGCUCAACCUGGGAACUGCAUUCGUGACUGUAGAGCUGGAGUGCGGCAGAGGGGGAUGGAAUUCCGCGUGUAGCGGUGAAAUGCGUAGAUAUGCGGAGGAACACCGACGGCGAAGGCAAUCCCCUGGGCCUGCACUGACGCUCAUGCACGAAAGCGUGGGGAGCAAACAGGAUUAGAGACCCCAGUAGUCCCUGUCUCUUAUAC
rnacentral:rRNA from 1 species